GUGCCAGCAGCCGCGGUAAUACGUAGGGGGCGAGCGUUAUUCGGAAUUACUGGGUGUAAAGGGUAUGUAGGCGGCCUCACAAGUCGCGUGUCAAAGUUCCAGCGCUUAACGCCUGGGUUUCGCCACGUGAUACUGUUCUGGCUUUGAGGACUGGAGAGGUGAGCCGGAAUUCCCCGGUGGUUAUUGGUUAAAAUAACGUUAAAUAUUCCGGGGGGAAACACCCCGGCGGGCCUUUAGGCGGCCCCCUAAAAAAGUGUUUUUGAGAGCCCAAAAAAACAAAACCCUUGGGGGGCCCCAACAGAUUUAAUUACCCCCGUUGUCCCCCCCCAAA
rnacentral:rRNA from 1 species